AGAGUUUGAUCAUGGCUCAGGAUGAACGCUAGCGGGAGGCUUAACACAUGCAAGUCGAGCGGGAAGGGUAGCAAUACCCUGAGAGCGGCGCACGGGUGCGUAACGCGUAUGCAACCUGCCUUAUACAGGGGGAUAGCCCAUGGAAACGUGGAUUAAUAUCCCAUAGGACUUAUUGAUCGCAUGGUUAAUAAGUUAAAACUACGGUGGUAUAAGAUGGGCAUGCGUCUGAUUAGGUAGUUGGUAGGGUAACGGCCUACCAAGCCGACGAUCAGUAGGGGUUCUGAGAGGAUUACCCCCCACACUGGUACUGAGACACGGACCAGACUCCUACGGGAGGCAGCAGUGAGGAAUAUUGGUCAAUGGGCGAGAGCCUGAACCAGCCAUCCCGCGUGCAGGAUGACGGCCCUAUGGGUUGUAAACUGCUUUUCUGCUCCAAGAAACCUGAUUACGUGUAAUCAGUUGACGGUAGAGUAGGAAUAAGCAUCGGCUAACUCCGUGCCAGCAGCCGCGGUAAUACGGAGGAUGCAAGCGUUAUCCGGAUUCAUUGGGUUUAAAGGGUGCGCAGGUGGGAAUGUAAGUCAGUGGUGAAAUACUGCCGCUUAACGGUAGAGCUGCCAUUGAUACUGCGUUUCUUGAGUAUGGUUGAGGUAGGUGGAAUGUGUUGUGUAGCGGUGAAAUGCAUAGAUAUGACACAGAACGCCGAUUGCGAAGGCAACUUACUAAGCCAUUACUGACGCUGAGGCACGAAAGCGUGGGUAGCGAACAGGAUUAGAUACCCUGGUAGUCCACGCUGUAAACGAUGUUCACUCGCUGUUUGCGAUACACAGUAAGCGGCUGAGCGAAAGCAUUAAGUGAACCACCUGGGGAGUACGAUCGCAAGGUUGAAACUCAAAUGAAUUGACGG
rnacentral:rRNA from 1 species